UUUCUCUUCUCCAGGUGAAGGUCCUGGGCCGUGACAUGCCCGGGGAGCCUCGGCAGGGCAGCUCCUGGCAGAGGGUGUCCUUGGUCACAGCAGCUUCUGUGACCAAAUACUCUGGAGCAGCCCAAGAGCUGGGUGGGAGAAAAAGGACGGGAGGCAGAGGCCACAAAGCCUCAGGAAUCUUGGAUGAAGGAGGACUUCCAGGAGCUCAUCCAACAAAUGAAAGCUAUGCGUGAAGAUCUCCAGAAAGGGCAGGAAUCCAGUAAGUGUGAUAUUCAGCUGCUCAUAGAAGGCCUGAAGAAGGAACAGGGUGAGCAGGGCCAUUCCCAAGCACUUCCAUCUCUCUGAACACCAAAGCUGCUCUACAGGCAAACCACUCUGAGAGCUCGUCCUGCACAGCUCCUCAAAGGGGCUGGAGAAGGACAGCCCUGACAUGGGGCACAGCUUUUGUGCUGCCUGACCCUGAAACAGCUCCCUGCUGAAGUGUUCUCUGCAGGUGGUCAUGGCCACACUUGUCUCCCUCAUCUCUGCAGAGAGUGUGUGCUGUGAGUUCUCUGAUCCCCUGAUCC
rnacentral:lncRNA from 1 species